GCCCCUGGUGCCACAGCAGCCUGAGGGCACCCUAGCUGGAAAGCUAAGCAGGCUCAGGCUGGCUAGGGCUUAGAUGGGGGGCCAAAUGGGAAGACAGGGGGCUGGAGGCU
ensembl:rRNA 5S_rRNA 5S ribosomal RNA